GAGAAGCUGCGCCGCCGCCCUCGGCCGUCCGGGCCCCGGGGCCGGGGCGUGCGCGCGGGGGGCGCGCGGAGAGGCACGAGGCGGGGACGAAGGACGGGUGGUCUUGCUGCAGAGUUGCCGCUGGAGGACCGAAAGUUUUUGCCUGCAGCCCUUCCACCGUGUCCCUCCAUCCCCGGGUCCCCGGCACCCAGGGCGAGGCGCCCCAGCGGGGAUCCCGGAGGCUUCGUGGGGAGGAGACGAGCAGGUCGCACAUCCGCUCCAAAGCCAGGGAGGGGACCCUGGUGACUUUGCCUCCCGGCCCCCACUCCCUUCGCCCUUUUUUCUCUUUCCUGGUGGACCUUGGACCGUGGAGAUUGUGCGGACGCCUCUGAGAGCCGAAGCCGAUGGGUGGAUGGAAGCGGUUCUAAAAAGCAGAUAAUGAAUGCCUAACUCUCAACUAUUUUGCCACUGCGGGCUUCUUUAAUCACAUGGAAAUCCAGCAUGAAAGUGCGUUAGGGGCGAUGAGACCAUCAUCACUACUGGAAAAACACGCAAAGAGCUGUGAUAACGUGAGGGUGUCUUGUCAACCUUGUCUCCUGCAUCAGCUGAACUCAGAGAUGCUAGCUAGCAUCUUGGAUCCUGACAGACGGGUGUGUUGUUCCUGAACUACCACGGAGGUGGCACUGGGCUGAAGACUGCUCUGCUCCCAUGCAGGCAGACCUGAGCUGUGUGAAGCCAGCAGAAAUGCCUUGAGUUGGACCCCACAAUGGUGUCAGUUAUGCCAGUGGCUCUCAAACUUCAGCCUGUGUUGGAGUUGCAUGGGGGCCUUUUAAAACACAGAGUGCUGGCUCCCAACUCCGGAGUUGCUGAUUCAGUAGGUCUGGGUGAGGCUCAAGGAUUUGCAUUUCUAGCAAGUCCCCAGGUGAUAUGGAUGCUACUGUUCAGGAGAACACACUUUGAGAACGACAGGUCUCCAGAAUCCCAUGGCAAACUCAUGAAACUUUAUUUUUUCUUUCCUCUCUAUUUCUUCUUUCUGUAAAGGAACUUUGGAUUUGAGAGAAGAGUUAAUGGAAGUCAAAAGGUAGAAACAACUCAGUUGUCCAACAACUGACAAAUGAAUAAAUAAAUUAUGGUAUAUCCAUACAUUGGAAUAUUAUUUGGCCAUGAAAAAGAAUGAAGUCCUAAUAUACCUGCAACAUGAAUGAAUCUUGAAAACAUUAUGCUAAAUGAAAGAAGCCAGUCACAAAAGGCAUGCACUGUAUGAUUCCAUUUAUUUGAUGUGUCCAGGAAAAGGCAAAUUCAUAGAUGUAGAAAGCAGAUUAAUGGUUGCCAGGAACUGGGAGCAAGGGAGGAAUGGGGACUGACUGCUUAGUAGGUUUCCCUUUGGGAUGAUAAAAGAGUUCUGGAACUUUUAAACUAAGUAAUACUUAGUAAUACUGAAUUGUAUACUUUAAAAUGGUUUUAAAAUGGUCAAUUUUGUGUUGUGUAUAUUUUACUACAAUAAAAAAUUGUGAAAGUUGAGUGUUGUUCUAACCUAAAUUGCAGGACCAGUUGAAAAGGUUUUUGUGAAAGUUUUAGUGCUGUGGGAUCUUGUACUACAAAAUCAAAUUUCUCCCUCCAUAUGAGGGUAGGUUGAAAGAUAACUUCAUAACCCAGGGAGGGACAUGUUUAGAUCAGGAGUUAAUGAUAAUGGGUAAGCCUGGUAAAAAUCUCUUUUGCACUCAUUCUCAGACUUUCUUUCAUGUACCAAACUUUAUGAUAUAAAUAUACUCUAAGAUAAAAACAGAUAAAAUUCAGCCAUAAUUUCUAAUAAUAAAAUUAUUUGGAUUUUUC